ACAUUCUUAGCUCAGAUGGAUAGAGCAACAGUUUUCGGCACUGUUGGUCGCGGGUUCGAGUCCUGCAGAAUGUG
rnacentral:tRNA from 1 species